UACGUAGGCAGCGAGCGUUGUUCGGAAUUACUGGGCGUAAAGAGUGUGUAGGCGGUGCUCUAAGUUCGGUGUGAAAUCUCCUGACUCAACUGGGAGGGUGCGCCGGAAACUGGAGUGCUUGAGCGUGGGAGAGGAAAGCGGAAUUCCUGGUGUAGCGGUGAAAUGCGUAGAUAUCAGGAGGAACACCGAUGGCGAAGGCAGUGUUCUGGGCCAGUACUGACGCUGAGGAGCGAAAGCGUGGGGAGCAAACAGG
rnacentral:rRNA from 1 species